AUGACCAAUUUUAUUUUUUUUUUUCAGGGAGCUACCUCAUUCAAGCCUGAAGAGAGAACCGUCAAACUGCAAGACUUGAAUUUAGAGCCAUUUCCCUUCCAACCAGAGCCAGCGAAACCUGCUAGAAAACAAAUCGUGCCUCCACCAGCCAGUCCAUCCAAAUUUAUCAAAGGAGAUUUCCGCCAAAGUGAACACGGAACAGACUAUGAAUCCGUGCGGAUACCCCCGAUUUGGAAGCCUCAUGACUCAGACUCUGAAGACAUUUCAUACCGACCUGUUCGCCCAAACUUAACACCAGUUUCAAGGCGGAAAAAGUAUGAAAAUAAUGUCCUUCCUCCGUUUAAUUUUGAAGAAUCUCCACGAUCCAAGUUUGAACCUGAAAAAUCAACAACCCCUGUUAAACUAAAAGAAAUCUUGUCGCCAACAAAGAUGCAGAAGUCUCUUCCUCAAUCUCCUCCCAGCAAUUCAUAUCAGACUUUUGCCUCUCAGCCAACGUAUCAAAGUCAGUCUCACCAAGCGCAGUCAACAUAUCAAAAUCAGUCUCACCAAGCGCAGUCAACGUAUCAGCAAACGCAUCAAAAUCAUCAAAACCACUCGUAUCAAACGCAAGCAUUUUCACAAACACAGUCUAGACCUAAUUCAUUACUGAUGGUGAAGCCCAAGUCUCCAACCAAAACCACACCAACCUAUAUCGGAAGUUCAAAACUUACACCCGCAGAAUCAUCAACAGUAAGUUAUACUGAAUCAACAGAAACUAGCAAGCACAUAGUGAAUGUAGAAAAAACAACAAAAACCUAUAGUUAUGACCAUGGAAGUGAGUCGCGAUCUCAGAGCGCUGUUACUCAGCAUAGCGUACCUUUUGAUUCAAAUAGCUACAUGGCUGAACAAAAGCGUUUGGAGCGGGUAGAGCAGAUGAGAAAACGGUUUGAAAGUAGCAACGAUAUUACCUUGCAGCCAGGAGAGCCACCAGAAUUUGUUCUAGCUGGAUCACCAACCACCAAUUCUGUGUCAAAUGAAGUAAACAAUCAAAUGCAAAACUUGAACAACAGAUUCAAGUCAAAAGUUCAAAGAUUUACUGGUGAUAUCAUAGCGGAUGUGAAUAGAAAAGAUUCAGAUAGUCAAGCACUGCAACUACGAACGAAUGAUGUUCAAAGUUACAAACAAGAAUCCAGGAAUAUCGAACAUGGAUCAAAACAGAUUGAUCCAUCCACUGGGUUAGUCUAUUUCAAGUACGAUUUUGGAUACGAAUUCGGAGUUGUCACUCCUAACGAUAACUCAGCAGCAACGAAUCGGUCGAAACCGAAACGACAAAAGUCCGUCACAUGGGAUCCGAUGUCGGAAAGUGAGUUCUCUGGAAAUGAGGCCAGGAAGCGCUCCUGCCUCAAGCCUUCCACAUCGGCCAUCAUCCCGUAUUCUUCUCCAAGCUCACCAGUUUCUCCUCUUUCCUCUCUUUCACCCAACCUCAACCAGCGCCGACACUCAGCAGGUUAUUAG
rnacentral:lncRNA from 1 species